CAGGAGAGUAGGAUGAAAACACUGGGGCUUU
rnacentral:piRNA from 1 species